AACGAACGCUGGCGGCAGGCCUAACACAUGCAAGUCGAGCGCGCCCUUCGGGGUGAGCGGCCGACGGGUUUGUAACGCGUGGGAACGUUCCCUUCUCUGUGGAAUAGCCUCGGGAAACUGAGAGUAAUACCGCACCCGCCCUUUGGGGGAAAGAUUUAUCGGACAAGGUUCGGCCCGCGUUGGAUUCGGUAGUUGGGUGGGUAAUGGGCCACUAAGCCGUGGAUCCAUAGCUGGUUUGUGAGGAUGAUCAGCCACACUGGGACUGGGAAGCGGCCCAGACUCUUACGGGAGGGAGCAAAGGGGAAUCUUAGACAGUGGCGGCAACCCUGAACUAGCCAGGCCGGGUAAAUGAUGAAGGCCUUAGAGUUGAAAAGCGCUAUCAGCUGGGAAGAUAAUGACGGUACCAGCAGAAGAAGCCCCGGCUAACUCCGUG
rnacentral:rRNA from 1 species